rnacentral:rRNA from 1 species
GGCGGCGUGCCUAACACAUGCAAGUCGAGCGGUAACAGGUGUAGCAAUACAUGCUGACGAGCGGCGAACGGGUGAGUAAUGCUUUGGAAUCUUCCCAGUAGUGGGGAACAACCAGUCGAAAGAUUGGCUAAUACCGCAUACGUCUGUGAAGAGAAAGCGGGGGAUCGUNANACCUCGCGCUAUUGGAUGAGCCAAAGUCGGAUUAGCUAGUUGGUGAGGUAAUGGCUCACCAAGGCGACAAUCCGUAGCUGGUCUGAGAGGACGACCAGCCACACCGGAACUGAGACACGGUCCGGACUCCUACGGGAGGCAGCAGUGGGGAAUAUUGGACAAUGGGGGAAACCCUGAUCCAGCGACGCCGCGUGUGUGAACAAGGCCUGCGGGUUGUAAAGCACUUUUAGUGGGGACAAAAAGUCAUGGGUUAAUAACCUGUGAUCUUGAUUUAACUCACAGAAAAAGCACCGGCUAACUCUGUGCCAGCAGCCGCGGUAAUACAGAGGGUGCGAGCGUUAAUCNGAAUUACUGGGCGUAAAGCGCACGU